AACACCUGGCUUUAAGCCUGGCUCACGAGUUAACUGGCACACAUGGCAGCAAAGCGGUCCUGGCACUGUGCAGCCCUUCCUCAGAGGGUUACCCAUCAGCUGCCAUACUUCCUCCAAGCCGGUGAGGACGGCAUCGGUGCUGCGAGGCUGCAGGGAGCGGUGGGACCCCACCUGUCCUGGGAUCAACACGGCGUGCAGGAAAAACCAGCUAUCACCUAUCCUGGCACUUUGCAGAGCAGUGCCAUGAGGGGAAGGGGCAGCGUGCAGCCCGGCCACGUCCACCCAACAGCUGUGGGCCCUCCCUGCUUUGGUUGGAGCUCCAAAACUGAUAUUCCACACAGGUAAUUUUCUG
rnacentral:lncRNA from 1 species